ensembl:lncRNA
UCACUGCACCCCCUCCAACCCCCCGUCCUGCAGGAUGAGACUCUGUGCGACACCGAGGACCUGCGAAAGGAGCUGGAACGUCUGAUGGAAGAAUACGAGAAGGCCGCACAGCAGAAGAUCCUCCUGCAGCAGGGACGACAAGAUGUCGCUGAGGAUGUCGAUGCUGUGACAGCAGAGUGUUUGGCUCUGAGGGAGCAAGUGGCUAUCUACGAGGAGCAGCUGGCCAACAUGGAGGACCAACACACCACGGCAGUGGAGCGUCUGAUGGGACCAGCUGAAGGGACCACGGGAGCAACGGCUGCCUUUCCAUUGGGCGGCCCUGACAUCACGCCGGCCCUGGACGUAAAGGAGUACUACUGCCAGCUGGCUGAGAGCCUCCAGAUUCAUCUUGUGACCUUUUGGAGGGGGUCGACCCCUAAGUGUGUCGACCACAGGACUAAACUAACCGGACACAAAGAAACGGCAGCUAAACCUUGACUGUCUUAACAGUGAAAUGGUACUUUCACAUUCAAGCAUCAGUUGUAAUAACCUCUUUUAUUACAGCAUAUAGAGCAGAGUCGGGGGACACUUUUCUGCAGAAUUAGCACUUCUUUAGAAUUUUUUAAUUUGUUACAUU